rnacentral:rRNA from 1 species
AAUGAACGUUGGCGGCGUGGAUUAGGCAUGCAAGUCGCGCGAUUUCCUUCGGGGAAGAGCGGCGGAAGGGAGAGUAACGCGUAGAUACCUACCCUCGGGACUGGAAUAGCGACGGGAAACUGUCGGUAAUGCCAGAUAACGUCCCUGGACCAAAGGUGUGAAUCCGCCUGAGGAGGGGUCUGCGUCCUAUUAGCUAGUUGGCGGGGUGACGGCCCACCAAGGCGAAGAUGGGUACCGGGCGUGAGAGCGUGACCCGGCUCACUGGGACUGAGACACUGCCCAGACACCUACGGGUGGCUGCAGUCGAGAAUCUUCGGCAAUGAGCGCAAGCUUGACCGAGCGACGCCGCGUGCGGGAUGAAGGCUUUCGGGUUGUAAACCGCUGUCAGUGGGGAGGAAAUUCUUGGGGGUACUCCCCCUUGAUUGACCGAUCCGCAGAGGAAGGACGGGCUAAGUUCGUGCCAGCAGCCGCAGUAAAAC